GUGCUAAGAUACUGUUUUGUCAAACUUCCUCCCUAGACGUAUCACUUGGCACCAUCCUUACUAUGUUUUCGGUAUCCUGCUAAGUCCAACCUGCUAUCCUGAGCUUUUCGUGCAAAUUUCAUGAGCAGACUAGAACUGUGGCUGAGCGGCAACUGGGAAUACCUUUCCCGAUGCAGAAACUUUACAGCCUUCUCCAAAGAGCUGGGCCUUCGUAUCAUUUAUCCAAAGUUGGAAUCAUCUGAGCCUGGCCAUUUAUGGAGACCAAACUAAGGAAGAUAAUAUUUUUUUAGCAUAUUUGGGGCUGCUUAAACCCAAAUGUUGAAAGAUUAAUGUUAUUGUAAUGUAUUUCGAUGUUAUAAAAACCUUCCCCUUCUGACUUCACAUCC